CCUACGGGGGGCAGCAGUGAGGAAUAUUGGUCAAUGGGCGGAAGCCUGAACCAACCAAGUAGCGUGCAGGAUGACGGCCCUAUGGGUUGUAAACUUCUUUUAUAUGGGAAUAAAAUGUUCCACGUGUGGGAUUUUGUAUGUACCAUAUGAAUAAGGAUCGGCUAACUCCGUGCCAGCAGCCGCGGUAAUACGGAGGAUCCGAGCGUUAUCCGGAUUUAUUGGGUUUAAAGGGAGCGUAGGUGGAUUGUUAAGUCAGUUGUGAAAGUUUGUGGCUCAACCGUAAAAUUGCAGUUGAAACUGGCAGUCUUGAGUACAGUAGAGGUGAGCGGAAUUCGUGGUGUAGCGGUGAAAUGCUUAGAUAUCACGAAGAACUCCGAUUGCGAAGGCAGCUCACUGGACUGCAACUGACACUGAGGCUCGAAAGUGUGGGUAUCAAACAGGAUUAGAUACCCCUGUAGUC
rnacentral:rRNA from 1 species